GAAGGGGCCCGAGCGUUAAUCGGAAUCACUGGGCUUAAAGGGUGCGCAGGCGGGACAGGUCAGUGUCUUGUGAAAUCCCACGGCUCAACCGUGGAAUUGCUGGGCAUACUACCCUGUCUUGAGCCCGGCAGGGGCCGUCGGAACUCUAGGUGGAGCGGUGAAAUGCGUAGAUAUCUAGAGGAACGCCAAAGGUGAAGACAGACGGCUGGGCCGGCGCUGACGCUCAGGCACGAAAGCGUGGGGAGCGAACGGGAUUAGAUACCCCGGUAGUCCACGCCGUAAACGAUGUGCACUAGAUCGAGGAGGUUUUGACGCCAUCUCGGUCGAAGUUAAAACAUUAAGUGCACCGCCUGGGGAGUACGGUCGCAAGGCUA
rnacentral:rRNA from 1 species